AGCAAUCCCUGAUUAGAGUGGCAAACGGGUGAGUAACACGUGGGUGACCUGCCUUCGAGUGGGGGAUAACCUUCCGAAAGGAGGGCUAAUACCGCAUGACAUACCGUGUUUGGAUACACGGAUAUCAAAGCCGGGGAUCGCAAGACCUGGCGCUUGGAGAGGGGCCCGCGUCCGAUUAGCUAGUUGGUGAGGUAACGGCUCACCAAGGCUCCGAUCGGUAUCCGGCCUGAGAGGGCGGACGGACACACUGGAACUGAGACACGGUCCAGACUCCUACGGGAGGCAGCAGUGGGGAAUUGUUCGCAAUGGGCGAAAGCCUGACGACGCAACGCCGCGUGGAGGAUGAAGAAUUUCGGUUCGUAAACUCCUUUCGACCGAGAUGAAUACCCAUGGGCUUAAUACGCCUGUGGGCUGACAGUAUCGAGAGAAGAAGCCCCGGCUAACUCUGUGCCAGCAGCCGCGGUAAUACAGGGGGGGCAAGCGUUGUUCGGAACUACUGGGCGUAAAGGGUUCGUAGGUGGCCACUUAAGUCAGACGUGAAAUCCCUCAGCUUAACUGGGGAACUGCGUCUGAUACU
rnacentral:rRNA from 1 species